UCGUUGUUGUUGUUGUUGUUGUUGUUGAUGUUUUUUUUUUUCCAAAUAUCAUCAAACAAUAGAGUGCUGUAGGUUUGGAUUUAUCCCUGCUCACUUGAGAGGCGUAAAGUCCUCAUCUUGCACUAAAAUCUCGACAGAUAAGGUGAAGGGAGGUUUGGAAUUGUGGGUUGCCAUGCUGGAGGCUUUCUUUGUCGCAUCCCCUCUUGCUCGAUUUCUGCCCUUUUGCCCGUUCUCGUGACGACUUGGAAAGGGUUUACAGCUUCCAGGAAGGGCUUUCACGACACCCUUGAUGCAUUCAUCGUCCGAUAGAAAUCGUGGAUGAUCAAGCUCUCUAUUCCACAACCACACUGAGGCGUGUAAGUGUGAAGCUUGGGUCAGACAUGGGGGCAGUCAUUGUAUUGGCUGUGACGGUUUUUGGUCAUUUCUUGGCCUCAGCAACGAGCUAUGGGUGUCUGUUAUGGUGCUUAUCAGGCGUAUGCUUUCGGUUCUGGAGCUUGUGGCUUCAAGCCUGUAGUCGAAGAUUCAGGGAUGGAUUAUUGAUUAGCGGACCAUCCAAUUUCUUCCCAUCACCACUUUCAUCAAUAAUACUUCUGUUCUAGAGUAAGCGAAGACACGUGAUCUUCACUUCCCUAUGAUGAUUCAAGAUUGAGGAUAUUGAAGUGACACUUUGAACGUCAGAAGGUUUCCCAGCUCAUAAUUUCCUAACUUGUAUGCUCAGACUUUUUAUUGCAACAUUUUUAUAUCAAGUCGAGCCCAGAAAACAUCAGUCAGUUUUGACAUUCAUCAGCAACGUCAACAGACACCAUGGCAUUUUGAACGCCACUAAUUCCCUGUUGGAGUUCGUCUCCCAAGGCAGAAGACCUAUCCUGACCAACUGGCCGACACUGUGGGGGCAAGGGUAAAGAACGUGCAGCAUCUACGAAAGUUCGUUUCAGGGUUUGGCACCGCUUCGGUGACCAGGGCUAAGCUGGUUCGUGGUUCGGAAGCCAGAUUGGCCCCAGAGCCAUCAAGCCAGACCUGUGCGGUCAGGUAUGGAUCUUGGGACCGAUGCGGCUGUGGCUGUCAGUGUGGGACCCAUUCCCUGUUGUCACUUGUGGAUUGGGUCUCUCAGCCUCUGCUUAAAGGAUGUGAUUGGGAAAGACCCCUCAUCACGGCAUUUUUAAUUGUUGAGCCAUUUUGGCACCCUUUCGAAUUGGGAUACCUUUUGAACUAAGUUUUAGGCCACAAAAUGAACUCAUCCCACUGGCUCACUAGCUCACUCACUCACUCACUCAUUUCCCCCCUCUUGAAAUAACUUGAAGUGUUAACCUUGACUAAUAGGUGGUGAAAAGCAUUGAUGUCAUUCAAACUCUGGUCCCUAAUUCUUCUUGUAAGAUGGGAUUUGAAAGCACACACCACUUCCAAAAGUGCAACCUUUUGUUUAUUUUCCAAAGUGGUUUUCAAAAUUACCAUCUUGUGCAGGAUGGGAAAGCCAUUGGAUCUCUGUUUUAACUGGCAAUAAUACAUGUUUCCUAGGGUAAAUGGAGAAGUGGAUUACAAA